rnacentral:rRNA from 1 species
UGGGGAAUAUUGGACAAUGGGGGCAACCCUGAUCCAGCCAUGCCGCGUGUGUGAAGAAGGCCUUUUGGUUGUAAAGCACUUUAAGCAGUGAAGAAGACUCCAUGGUUAAUACCCAUGGACGAUGACAUUAGCUGCAGAAUAAGCACCGGCUAACUCUGUGCCAGCAGCCGCGGUAAUACAGAGGGUGCAAGCGUUAAUCGGAAUUACUGGGCGUAAAGCGAGCGUAGGUGGAUUGAUAAGUCAGAUGUGAAAGCCCCGGGCUUAACCUGGGAACGGCAUCUGAUACUGUUAGGCUAGAGUAGGUGAGAGGAAGGUAGAAUUCCAGGUGUAGCGGUGAAAUGCGUAGAGAUCUGGAGGAAUACCGAUGGCGAAGGCAGCCUUCUGGCAUCAUACUGACACUGAGGUUCGAAAGCGUGGGUAGCAAACA